AACAGAUAAGGAGCUUGCUCCUUUGACGUUAGCGGCGGACGGGUGAGCAACACGUGGGUAACCUACCUAUAAGACUGGGACAACUUCGGGAAACCGGAGCUAAUACCGGAUAAUAUGUUGAACCGCAUGGUUCAAUAGUGAAAGAUGGUUUUGCUAUCACUUAUAGAUGGACCCGCGCCGUAUUAGCUAGUUGGUGAGGUAACGGCUCACCAAGGCAACGAUACGUAGCCGACCUGAGAGGGUGAUCGGCCACACUGGAACUGAGACACGGUCCAGACUCCUACGGGAGGCAGCAGUAGGGAAUCUUCCGCAAUGGGCGAAAGCCUGACGGAGCAACGCCGCGUGAGUGAUGAAGGUCUUAGGAUCGUAAAACUCUGUUAUUAGGGAAGAACAAACGUGUAAGUAACUGUGCACGUCUUGACGGUACCUAAUCAGAAAGCCACGGCUAACUACGUGCCAGCAGCCGCGGUAAUACGUAGGUGGCAAGCGUUAUCCGGAAUUAUUGGGCGUAAAGCGCGCGUAGGCGGUUUUUUAAGUCUGAUGUGAAAGCCCACGGCUCAACCGUGGAGGGUCAUUGGAAACUGGAAAACUUGAGUGCAGAAGAGGAAAGUGGAAUUCCAUGUGUAGCGGUGAAAUGCGCAGAGAUAUGGAGGAACACCAGUGGCGAAGGCGACUUUCUGGUCUGUAACUGACGCUGAUGUGCGAAAGCGUGGGGAUCAAACAGGAUUAGAUACCCUGGUAGUCCACGCCGUAAACGAUGAGUGCUAAGUGUUAGGGGGUUUCCGCCCCUUAGUGCUGCAGCUAACGCAUUAAGCACUCCGCCUGGGGAGUACGACCGCAAGGUUG
rnacentral:rRNA from 1 species